rnacentral:rRNA from 1 species
UACGUAGGGUGCGAGCGUUGUCCGGAAUUAUUGGGCGUAAAGGGCUCGUAGGCGGUUUGUCGCGUCGGGAGUGAAAACUCGGGGCUUAACCCCGGGCCUGCAGUGGGUACGGGCAGACUAGAGUGCGGUAGGGGAGACUGGAAUUCCUGGUGUAGCGGUGAAAUGCGCAGAUAUCAGGAGGAACACCGGUGGCGAAGGCGGUUCUCUGGGCCUGUACUGACGCUGAGGAGCGAAAGCGUGGGGAGCGAACAGG